AGCUUUGUCUUCCUCGGGCUGGCUCCUGCGGAUCCUUCCUGGGCCAGAACUGCACCUCUAGGCCACCUGCCCCAAGCCACCAAGCCCCCGCGGUGGGCCAGCCUUGGCCCAGUGUCACGCAGGACAGAAAUGACCAACAGAUAACUGAGGACAAUGGACCUGCCUGGGCAUAGACUUCCUUAAGCCUCUCUCCACCGGUCACUGUUAGCCUCGAGUUUGACCCUCAACAUCCCCAGAGGAUGCCUCCUAGGACUCGAACCUCAUUUAGUGUCUCUACUGCUGAUGGAUGCCAUGAGUGGAGCUGUCGACCACCUUGGGUGAAGUGGUGGUCUCCAUGUCCCAACUGGGCAGCACGAUGACCACAGAAAGGUUGUAUCUACCCACCCAGCACAACACAUACAGAAAUUUCAAAAGAGCCUAUUUAAGUAGAUGAGCAUAGAUAGAUAAUUCUGGGAGAACAUCCUUAAAAGGAGUUUGGUGUUUUGUUUUGCUUUGUAUUGGUUUCUGUCUAAAUAAACUAGACUGCUUUAA
rnacentral:sRNA from 1 species